rfam:uncultured archaeon A07HR60 genomic scaffold scf7180000001773, whole genome shotgun sequence.
AAGUAACUCCGAGUCUCGCCUGUGAUGGCGGUGAGAGGAGUAACGGCUGGUUGGCACAGCCAUCGACGGUCCUGUUUGACACGGAGACUGGCUCGUUCGAGCCUCGAGAGGAGGUACGGUCAUAGACCACAAUAUCCCACAUCAGCGGCGCGGUGCCGUGGGAAUCCCCGCCGGCGGGCGGGGA